AGUGAUAUAGCUCAAUGAUAGAGUGCUUGCCUUGCAUGCUUGAGGCUCUGGGUUCAAUCCCCAGUCUGACCA
rnacentral:tRNA from 1 species